rnacentral:lncRNA from 1 species
CAUUGGCUUGGUGCUUGAGAGUCACAUCAGAACAUAAGUGGGGAUGGCCUUGAAAUGGCCUGUCUGCAUUUGAAAGCCACAUUUCAGGCUAGCUGUCUAACACUCUUGGAAAUUCGCUAGCCCUGGAAGGUGCAGUUACUUCCCAGGCAAAGCAAAAUGGCAGAGUAGAUCUCUCCAGCCAUCUUACUCCCACAGGAACAUCAAUUUGAACCACUAUCCACAAGAACCUUCACAAGAGGUUUUGACUUAACCUCAGAAGGCCUGUGCUCCAACGAAAGUUAAAGAGGAAUUCACCCAUGCUUUCUCCAAGCCAUCAAACUCCAAACCAUCAUGCAACCAAAGCCUUUGUCUAUGGCUCCUUUUGCCAGAAA